rnacentral:rRNA from 1 species
AGAGUUUGAUCCUGGCUCAGAAUGAACGCUGGCGGCGUGGAUUAGGCAUGCAAGUCGAACGAGAAAGCGGUUUUUAAUCGUGAGUAAAGUGGCGAAUGGGUGAGUAACGCGUGGGAAACCUGCCCUUGAGUGUGGAAUAACAUUUCUAACGAAAUGCUAAUACCGCAUAAUAUUACAGAUCGCAUGUUCUGUAAUCAAAGGAGGCCUCUAUUUAUAAGCUAUCGCUUAAGGAUGGUCCCGCGUCCAAUUAGCUAGUUGGUAGGGUAAUGGCCUACCAAGGCGACGAUUGGUAGCCGGCCUGAGAGGGUGUCCGGCCACACUGGGACUGAGACACGGCCCAGACUCCUACGGGAGGCAGCAGUCGAGAAGCUUCGGCAAUGGGGGAAACCCUGACCGAGCGACGCCGCGUGGGUGAUGAAGUCCUUCGGGAUGUAAAGCCCUGUCAUAUGGGAUGAAAAAUCGAUUGGUUAACUACCUUUUGAUCUGACAGUACUGUAAGAGGAAGCUCCGGCUAACUCCGUGCCAGCAGCCGCGGUAAUACGGGGGGAGCGAGCGUUAUUCGGAUUUACUGGGCAUAAAGGGUUCGUAGGCGGUCUUGAAAGUCAGAGGUGAAAUCUAACGGCUUAACCGUUAAAUUGCCUUUGAAACUACUUGACUUGAGGACGGGAGAGGAAAGCGGAAUUCUUGGUGUAGCGGUGAAAUGCGUGGAUAUCAAGAAGAACACCGGUGGUGAAAACGGCUUUCUAGCCUGUAACUGACGCUGAUGAACGAAAGCUAGGGUAGCAAACGGGAUUAGAUACCCCGGUAGUCCUAGCCAUAAACGAUGGGCACUAGGUGUGGGAGGUAUCGACCCCUUCCGUGCCGGAGUUAAUGCAUUAAGUGCC